rnacentral:tRNA from 1 species
GGGCCUGUAGCUCAGUUGGGAGAGCGCUGCAAUCGCACUGCAGAGGUCGUCAGUUCGACUCUGAUCAGGUCCACCA